AAAACUCUCUAGUGAGCAAUUGAAGAGAAGGGUGAAGGGCAGGAGCCUUUGACUUGCCCAGUGCCCUUAAUUGCCUUGUUCUCCUCUCUUCCAGGCCAGGCCAAAGCCCUGAUCCAGCCCAGCUCUGCCAAGUGCCCUGGGCUGGGAGCAGCCAAAGGCAAGAGGCUGCAGCCCCGCCGGCCGGGCUGGGGGCUCCUGGUGCUGCCCGUGGGGUGGGAUGCUGGAAUUGCCUCUCUGGGUGUGUGCUGAGCUCUGGCUGCAGGGGACUGUCAGGCCUUGGUGGCUCUGUUCCCUGAUGUCCAUUCACUGGCCUGAAUUCCUUGCAGCUCCCAGCUGGGGAAACCUGGGAGAACAUGGCAGGGACAGAGGUGACAUUUGUAGCUGCCAACUUGGGGUAAUUUCGAGGAGACCCAGCAACUGUUUGUGUAGGAAAAGCCCGCAAUUCCAUGGGGAAUUCCUGCUGCAAUAGCCUCCCAGUGCCUCCUGGAGCCCGGAUCUUCCCCCGCAGAGCUGCCACUUUAACGCCAGGUUUGCCAGGAAGCAGCCACGGUUCCAGGCUCACCUGGAGGAGACGCUCCCCCGCAGGCGGGACCAGGCGGCGACACUCGAC